rnacentral:rRNA from 1 species
GGGGAGGCGGGAGGCGCGGGGGAGGGUCUAGAGCGCUGGGCGGCGGCGGCGGCGGCGGCGGCCCGGAGCGGCGGGGACUCUCGGGUAGUACCAAUCCUUCUUUUCUUGGCCGUGACCUCUCUCAAGGCCUCUCCGAAGCCCUCGAGGACCUGUCCCAAGUAGCGUCGGUCGGCUCUCUCGAGGAGGAGUUGUCGUAGUUGUCGUACCACCACCUGCACCAACCCACGGAGUUGUCCCACCGGCACCACCACCCGUUGUGGAUCCGGCACCACCUGUCAUGGUCCCGGUCCCUCCCGGUCGACGGGUGGCAGGUCCACCGGGUGGGCUUAUAGUUGUCGCACUUAUAGUCCCGGCGCCUGUAGGUCCACCACCAGGUGGACUUAUAGUUGGUGCACUGAUAGUCCCGGCACCUGUAGGUCCACGAUCCGGUGGACUUAUAGUUGGCGCGCUGGGAGUCCCGGUACCUGUAUGUCCACCACGAGGUGGACUUAUAGUUGGCGCGCCGGGAGUCCCGGCACCUGUAGGUCCACCACGAGGUGGACUUAUAGUUGGCGCACCGGGAGUCCCGGCACCUGUAGGUCCACCACGAGGUGGACUUAUAGUUGGCGCACUGGGAGUCCCGGCACCUGUAGGUCCACCACCAGGUGGACUUAUAGUUGUCGCACUGAUAGUCCCUGCACCACCAGGUGCGGGAUCUCCCCCACCUUACGGCGUCGGUAGGAUACCGCCCGUAUCCCCUCCUGUACCUCCUAUGUUACAAGGAGGUCCAGUCAGUUCUUGUCAAGGGCUCGACGUGGUUCGGGGUCUACAGGUUAUAGUUCGGGGCCACCAAAGUGGUAGGCGUAGCCCUCGACCGAGUAGGAGAGUCGGACGCCGCCUCCACUCGUCACCUGUUCAGCUCGUUGUCAAAGUCUUUGAACUGUAGUCACUAGUUUCAAGCUGGUCGGUUCGGUAAGUUGGCCGUGGACGUAGUUCGUUUAGUCAAGCUAAGGGUAACGCGGGACCUUACCCAUUUACACCCCUAUCCACACACCACUUUCGGUUAGUAAAGAAGCGCCUCGAGGGACUAUUUCUGGAAGUGGUUAUGCUGCACUGGUAUUGCGGUCUCCAAUGUAGCGCUCCACAAUUAGCACGACACUAACGUCUUGAACAUUUCGACAUAUCUGUUAGAGUAUACUUACCUGCAGAUGGACGGAUACUACCUUCCUUCUCGGAAAUAUGUCGACCCGGUAAUGGCAAAUGAAGCUCCUGUAAACUUUAGCGAGACGUUCUACUUCUACUUCCGGAACAACCACCCGUUCGGUGCGGUUCCGCACUCUCUGUUAAGUCCCACCACUAGUUUAUACGACGGGCACGACUAGAGGUAGUAAACCGAUACAAAGAUCGACCCUCCGUUGGUCUACGUGGAGUUCUUCGAGAAGUCCACGAACUGUAACACGAUGCCCUUAACGGAUGACGGUCCAUAAGGGGUCAAUCAUCUAGUAAAAUAAGAGGGUUGGAUCCCUCUGCAGUCUCUGAACCCCUGCCAAACCUUUCAACCGCACCUAAAAUGGUUUCAUAUUCUGGAUGUGUCUACCCUGAAAGCGACUUAUAACUAUACAGAAGAUGUCGUAAAUAGCUCGGAGAGGGACACUAACUCAAACAACGAGUCGAAGACACGUCUCUGUAGAGUCAAUCUGGCGAGUGACUAAGUCUAGCACACUUCUAAUUUUUUCGGGAUGCUCCACAUUUCCAACUCCAAUGUGUAGCUCCUUUGUACGCAUCCUUUAUGGCAUAUAGACCGGAGUGUAGUGUUCGUUGUGCUCUCGAUAGUAAGGGACAACUACUAGCGCCAUGACACUUCUGACACCACGUUAUGAAGGACCUCUGCAUACCAAAGUUAUAAGUCGUGUGGUGAAAUGGAACGAACGUUCAGCCAUUAGUCGUUUCUGGCUUAAUAGAGGGGUACCUCCAAACAUUCUAACAACUUCCUGUUGCGAUGAGUUUUGCUAACUUACUUUUUGUUUAUUGACGAGAUGACUUUCACUGAACGGUCGCGGGAGUUCUCGCACUCUUCCUGUAGAACGUCUGACACGUAGUGUUACGUAUGAUGCUUCUAGGUAUACGUGUCCUUAAACCGUAUUUUUAACUACUCGUUGAACGUAGCCAACUUCGAGCACAAGACGGAGGCGGUUCCGAAUUCAUGGUACUAUCACCGUCUCUCUUCCUACAGAAUGGGUCCCAGCCGGUUACCUUGUACUACUUGUUCUUUUACCAGUUACCACCAUCUCAGUCGGUGACCCGUACAUAAUUGAAGAGGGCCUUACACGUUCUAUUACGACGGUUCCAAAAGACAGUACUCGACCGAUAUUACACGGUUUAUAGACCUUACUUGAAACGUGGACUUGGACACGACGGGCAUGAAUCACGCUCCGGACUUGUGCACCUUUCUCGUGACUUCCGUGCAAUAGUACUACGGUACUUGCGUUCGUUUGGGGGCCCGUUUCUUGAACUGGACGAUUAACAAUAUGACGGCCUAUUAUUACCAAGAGAAAUACCCCUGGAAUUUUCUUAAACGCUCUGACUUGAACCUAACCAUAGGGUCACAACAGAAUGUUUUGUACAAAAAUUCUACUCGUUCGUCAUAGAACGAUUACAUCGAGAGUUUUAGUUACAAUUCCACCCCCCUUCCUUAUGACAAGAACACCUACGAAACCGUUCCUCCUAAGCGGAACAAUGGCUGUCUGGCUGGUAUUAUAAACCACGACUACAAUGUGUAGGAGUGGGACCUCUUCUAAGAUCGGGAAGGUAACGUCGACACCAACGAAGAGUUCUGACCGGACUCUAUUGGUUCAUGCGUCCUAAUCACUCACGGGUUCGGGUAUCCGUUCUCGACUAUGUCCUAGAAAAAUUUCAUACCGUUCUAGGGGUUUCUCCUUGACAAUGACCGCCGUACUAGUUCCUCGAAGAGUAUAGAAAGUUCUCCCGCUGACCUGUCUUUGGAGUCUCUUAGUAUAAAAUGUCCCUACCACAGUCGCUCCCUGUCAAGAUGGUCCAAGACAACAAACUUGAACUACGGUAAGCCUUCCGGACACGUAGGAACCUCGGGUUAAUAGUCGGAGGUCAAUGGAAACACCAACAGGUCUUCGCAGUAGUGUGAUCCGAAAAACGAUUGUUAGUGUUACUAGUCGCAUGACAGCUGUCUUCGCCCUUGUAUGACGGACCGUGGCAACAACUAAGCUUCUAGACGGUAGGCUGUCUUAAACUGAAGAUGAACACGUCGGUACGACCGUAAGUCCCUUGUUCGGCCGGACGAGUAAUAGUACAAGACACCCUGCUCUUGUUUAAAUGACGACUACUCAACGUUUGAGAGUGUUUGUUGAACACGAUGUGGAUACGAGCUACGUGGGCGAGGCACAGUUAACAAGGAGGACGUAUAAUACGUGUAGACCGUCGGAAGGCCCGAGCCAAGAUGUACCUCGGCCUGUGGAGACUGUCGCCCAGACACCGAUCGCCACGUGCACCGCCAGGAGGUGUCCCGCCAGGUGCGUCGUCGUGGUCCAAGCCCUUACAACGACAGUCCGGAGAGGGACGGGAGUUCCUUUUGCAGUUCGCACAGUACAAAAUGACGAUU